UACGAAGGGGGCAAGCGUUGUUCGGAAUUACUGGGCGUAAAGGGCGCGUAGGCGGCUUAUCAAGUCAGGCGUGAAAUUCCCGGGCUCAACCUGGGGGCUGCGCUUGAUACUGAUGAGCUUGAAUGCGGGAGAGGAUAGUGGAAUUCCCAGUGUAGAGGUGAAAUUCGUAGAUAUUGGGAAGAACACCAGUGGCGAAGGCGGCUAUCUGGCCCGUAAUUGACGCUGAGGCGCGAAAGCGUGGGGAGCAAAC
rnacentral:rRNA from 1 species